GACGAACGCUGGCGGCGUGCUUAACACAUGCAAGUCGAACGGAAAGGCCCUGCUUUUGUGGGGUGCUCGAGUGGCGAACGGGUGAGUAACACGUGAGUAACCUGCCCUUGACUUUGGGAUAACUUCAGGAAACUGGGGCUAAUACCGGAUAGGAGCUCCUGCUGCAUGGUGGGGGUUGGAAGGUUUCGGCGGUUGGGGAUGGACUCGCGGCUUAUCAGCUUGUUGGUGGGGUAGUGGCUUACCAAGGCUUUGACGGGUAGCCGGCCUGAGAGGGUGACCGGCCACAUUGGGGCUGAGAUACGGCCCAGACUCCUACGGGAGGCAGCAGUGGGGAAUAUUGCACAAUGGGCGGAAGCCUGAUGCAGCAACGCCGCGUGCGGGAUGACGGCCUUCGGGUUGUAAACCGCUUUCGCCUGUGACGAAGCGUGAGUGACGGUAAUGGGUAAAGAAGCACCGGCUAACUACGUG
rnacentral:rRNA from 1 species